CGCGUAGGUGGUUCGAUAAGUCGGAGGUGAAAGCCCUCGGCUCAACCGAGGAUCCGCGUCCGAUACUGUCGAACUUGAGUGCAGGAGAGGAGAGCGGAAUUCCCAGUGUAGCGGUGAAAUGCGUAGAUAUUGGGAGGAACACCGGUGGCGAAGGCGGCUCUCUGGACUGCUACUGACGCUGAGGCGCGAAAGCUAGGGGAGCAAACGGGAUUAGAUACCCCGGUAGUCCUAGCCGUAAACGAUGGGCACUAGGUGUGGGAGGUAUCGACCCCUUCCGUGCCGCAGCUAACGCAUUAAGUGCCCCGCCUGGGGAGUACGGCCGCAAGGUUGAA
rnacentral:rRNA from 1 species